rnacentral:tmRNA from 1 species
GGGGGUGUUUUGGAUUCGACUUGUGAGUAUGGGGAAUGAUAAGCAUACCGAAGGCUCGUCUUCGUAAAAACGGAAACUUAAAAUCAAACGCUGACAACAGAAGUCUGCAAUUAGCAGCCGCGUAAGGUUGCCGUCCUCUCCGAAGUCCUACGCUCGGAAGCAGGGCGUCGUUAGUAGGGUACGAUACGCCUGAGUAGUCUUGUAAGGCAGUAUUGAAUUAAAGACUUAGGCGGAUAAAAGGUUUGACUGUUGACCUUUUUGACGCGACACUUAACAACAGUAUAAGUAUGUAGAAAGUCAUUCUUGAUAUCAUAAGGACCGGGGUUCAACUCCCCGCACCUCCACCA